AAUGAACGUUGGCGGCGUGGAUUAGGCAUGCAAGUCGAGCGAGAAUCGGUCUUCGGAUCGAGGACAGCGGCGAACGGGGUAGGAAUACCUCGGUGACGUACCCCCAGGUCGGGGAUAGCGGCGGGAAACUGCCGGUAAUACCCGAUGAUCUGUCCUAAUUUUAGCUUUGGGACAGCAAAGGUGUGAUUCCGUCUGGGGAGCGGCUGAGGUCGUAUUAGCUAGUUGGUAAGGUAACGGCUUACCAAGGCGAUGAUGCGUAGGGGGUGUGAGAGCAUGGCCCCCACCACUGGCACUGAGACACUGGCCAGACACCUACGGGUGGCUGCAGUCGAGAAUCUUCGGCAAUGGGCGAAAGCCUGACCGAGCGACGCCGCGUGCGGGAUGAAGGUCUUCGGAUUGUAAACCGCUGUCGGAGGGGAUGAAAUGCAUGGGGGUACUCCCCUGUGUUUGACAGAGCCUCGGAGGAAGCACGGGCUAAGUUCGUGCCAGCAGCCGCAGUAACAC
rnacentral:rRNA from 1 species